rnacentral:rRNA from 1 species
UACGUAGGGUGCAAGCGUUGUCCGGAUUUAUUGGGCGUAAAGAGCUCGUAGGCGGUCUGUCACGUCGAAUGUGAAAGCCCAGGGCUCAACCCUGGGUCUGCAUUCGAUACGGGCAGACUAGAGUACGGCAGGGGAGACUGGAAUUCCUGGUGUAGCGGUUAAAUGCGCAGAUAUCAGGAGGAACACCGGUGGCGAAGGCGGGUCUCUGGGCCGUAACUGACGCUGAGGAGCGAAAGCGUGGGGAGCGAACAGG